rnacentral:tRNA from 1 species
ACCUGGGUGGCUCAGUUGGUUAAGCAUCUGACUUUGGCUCAGGUCAUAAUCUCUCAGUUUGUGGGUUCAAGUCCCAUGUCAGGCU